GACGAACGCUGGCGGCGUGCCUAAUACAUGCAAGUCGAACGCAGUGGGGACGGGUGAGUAACACGUGGGUAACCUCCCAUCAGAGGGGAUAACACUUGGAAACAGGUGCUAAACCGAUACUGAUGGAUGGACCCGCGGUGCAUUAGCUAGUUGGUGAGGUAACGGCUCACCAAGGCCACGGUGCAUAGCCGACCUGAGAGUGUUAUCGGCGACACUGGGACUAAGACUCGGCCCAGAAUCCUACGGGAGGCAGCAGUAGGGGAUCUACGGCAAUGGACGAAAGUCUGACCGAGCAACGGCGCGAGAGUGAAGAAGGUUUUCGGAUCGUGGAACUCUGGUGUUAGAGAAGCGGUAUCUAACCAGAAAGCCACGGCUAACUACGUGCCAGCGGCCGCGGUAAUUC
rnacentral:rRNA from 1 species